rnacentral:rRNA from 1 species
AGCGAACGCUGGCGGCAGGCCUAACACAUGCAAGUCGAACGAACCUUUCGGGGUUAGUGGCGGACGGGUGAGUAACACGUGGGAACGUGCCUUUAGGUUCGGAAUAACUCAGGGAAACUUGUGCUAAUACCGAAUGUGCCCUUCGGGGGAAAGAUUUAUCGCCUUUAGAGCGGCCCGCGUCUGAUUAGCUAGUUGGUUGAGGUAAUGGCUCACCAAGGCGACGAUCAGUAGCUGGUCUGAGAGGAUGAUCAGCCACAUUGGGACUGAGACACGGCCCAAACUCCUACGGGAGGCAGCAGUGGGGAAUCUUGCGCAAUGGGCGAAAGCCUGACGCAGCCAUGCCGCGUGAAUGAUGAAGGUCUUAGAAUUGUAAAAUUCUUUCACCGGGGACGAUAAUGACGGUACCCGGAGAAGAAGCCCCGGCUAACUUCGUG